AACUUUGAAGUACCCUUUAAAUGAGUUCCAUGUACCCAUUUUCAUAAUCAGUAUGGGAAUGUCAGAAAAAGGGUAUUUUUCAAUGACAUAAAAAAGGGUACUUUAACUCCAUUUCGAAGUUUCCCCUCUCGUGGAAAUAAUGGGUAAAUUGUAUACAUGCUAGUUUGAUGUAAUCAAAUCCGCCAUUGUUCGAUUUUGUUUCGUUGCCACCCGGCAUUAAUGAAAAACAAAUUGUGAAAAGUGGAAUUCACGCGUUAUUUCAAACCAAUCCAGUGACCAAUUUUGUUGUGAUAGUUUUGUUUCAUACGAUGCUUUUCUGACACAUAAUUCGACAGCUGUUUUAAUUCACCCAAGCGGUUCGGGCCGGCUCCAAGGAUGAUGUUUUUGAAGCAGUUAAAGUGAUCCAGAGUGUUCAUUUCCAAGCUCCGUAUGUUUGGGAACUUCCGACAAAAGAAACAAAAUAAUGAUUUCUUAAUUUUGUAGAUAAAAAUAAUAAAAAUGAAUAAUGAAUAUAGUUUUUGGAUGGCCUUUGGA